CCGAGUGCGGGCCCUCGCGGCCCAACCUCCCACCCUUGUCUCUGUACACCUGUUGCUUUGGCGGGCCCACCGGGGCCACCCGGUCGCCGGGGGACGUCUGUUCCCGGGUCCGCGUCCGCCGAAGCGCUCUGUGAACCCUGAUGAAGAUGGGCUGUCUGAGUACUAUGAAAAUUGUCA
rnacentral:misc_RNA from 1 species